UACCGCUCUUAACCACUACACCACACUGGCUCUUUAUCAAGGAAUUCUUGAUAAAGUUUCCUGUGCCACCUCAACCAGUGUGGUGCCAGUGUGGUGUAGUGGUUAAGAGCAGUAGU